GGAAAGCAUGUAGCCCAGUGGUGGGUCAUCUGCUUUGGAUACAGAAGGUUCCAGGUACACUCCCUGCCAUCUCCA